CAUGUACUCCCUCCGUUCGGAAUUACUUGUCACAGAAAUGGGUGUAUCUAGAUGUAUUUUAGUUAUAGAUACAUCCAUUUUCGAGACAAGUAAUUCCGAACGGAGGGAGUAUAUG
rnacentral:pre_miRNA from 1 species